UGGUUCCAGCAUCGAUGAAGAACGCAGCGAAAUGCGAUAAGUAAUGUGAAUUGCAGAAUUCAGUGAAUCAUCGAAUCUUUGAACGCACAUUGCGCCCCUUGGCAUUCCGGGGGGCAUGCCCGUUCGAGCGUCAUUUCACCACUCAAGCCCAGCUUGGUAUUGGACCCCGGGGACGACCCGGGUCUCAAAGUCGUCGGCCGGACAGCCCGGAUCUUAGCGUCACAGAAUCAAUUCGCUACAGAGAGGGGCGAUCCGCGCCGGAAACAUUUAUUAAAGGUUGACCUCGGAUCGGGUAGGAAUACCCGCUGA
rnacentral:misc_RNA from 1 species